UACGUAGGCAGCAAGCGUUGUUCGGAAUUACUGGGCGUAAAGAGUGUGUAGGUGGUGUCGUAAGUUUGGUGUGAAAUCUCCCGGCUUAACUGGGAGGGUGCGCCGAAGACUGCGAUGCUGGAGUAUGGGAGAGGAAAGCGGAAUUCCUGGUGUAGCGGUGAAAUGCGUAGAUAUCAGGAGGAACACCUGCGGUGUAGACGGCUCACUGGACCGGAACUGACGCUGAGGCGCGAAAGCGUGGGGAGCAAACGGG
rnacentral:rRNA from 1 species